rnacentral:rRNA from 1 species
AUGAUUAUGGUUCCCAUCCAUGCUCAUGUUGAUAUCAUGCUCAUAUUGCAUUGUCAUUUCAUCAUGUUAUUUUGUUGUCAUGUCUCUCGCCGACGCCUCAAACUAGGGAAGGUUAUGUGCGCGCGCUACCCUGGCCCGGUAGGCGGCGAUAACCUUGUGUGCCUGAGUUGUUUGCGCGUUUUUGUCCUCGUUUGGGACCGUUUGUUUUUUGUUUGGCCACGACGGUGGCCGGCCACAAAAGUGGCAGAUGUCAAGAGUUGGCAUCGGGGCCACCCAGGACAUAGCCCAAAGGGGAGUUUGUCGAGGUGGCCGCGAGAGUAUCAUGCAAUAGAUUGGUUUUAUCGGAAUGUCGUUGGUCCACCCGAAUGGGAGCACGAGGCCAUGAAUUCCGUGGUGUGGGUACAGUGUACUAACCUCUGCAGAGUGUAUACUCUAUCGAUAGUCGCGCUCUCGAUUAUGGACCCAGUUCGUAGUAGGUCACAACUUGGGUCAACAGUAAUAACAAUAUGA